GACGAACGCUGGCGGCGUGCUUAACACAUGCAAGUCGAACGGAAAGGCCCUGCUUUUGUGGGGUGCUCGAGUGGCGAACGGGUGAGUAACACGUGAGUAACCUGCCCUUGACUUUGGGAUAACUUCAGGAAACUGGGGCUAAUACCGGAUAGGAGCUCCUGCUGCAUGGUGGGGGUUGGAAAGUUUCGGCGGUUGGGGAUGGACUCGCGGCUUAUCAGCUUGUUGGUGGGGUAGUGGCUUACCAAGGGUUUGACGGGUAGCCGGCCUGAGAGGGUGACCGGCCACAUUGGGACUGAGAUACGGCCCAGACUCCUACGGGAGGCAGCAGUGGGGAAUAUUGCACAAUGGGCGGAAGCCUGAUGCAGCAACGCCGCGUGCGGGAUGACGGCCUUCGGGUUGUAAACCGCUUUCGACUGUGACGAAGCGUGAGUGACGGUAAUGGGUAAAGAAGCACCGGCUAACUACGUG
rnacentral:rRNA from 1 species